CCUACGGGAGGCAGCAGUGGGGAAUCUUGCGCAAUGGGCGAAAGCCUGACGCAGCCAUGCCGCGUGAAUGAUGAAGGUCUUAGGAUUGUAAAAUUCUUUCACCGGGGACGAUAAUGACGGUACCCGGAGAAGAAGCCCCGGCUAACUUCGUGCCAGCAGCCGCGGUAAUACGAAGGGGGCUAGCGUUGCUCGGAAUUACUGGGCGUAAAGGGAGCGUAGGCGGAUAGUUUAGUCAGAGGUGAAAGCCCAGGGCUCAACCUUGGAAUUGCCUUUGAUACUGGCUAUCUUGAGUACGGAAGAGGUAUGUGGAACUCCGAGUGUAGAGGUGAAAUUCGUAGAUAUUCGGAAGAACACCAGUGGCGAAGGCGACAUACUGGUCCGUUACUGACGCUGAGGCUCGAAAGCGUGGGGAGCAAACAGGAUUAGAUACCCUGGUAGUCCACGCUGUAAACGAUGAGUGCUAGUUGUCGGCAUGCAUGCAUGUCGGUGACGCAGCUAACGACAUUAAGUACACCUCCGCCGUCGGGGUAGGGUACGGGUCCGGCGAAGAAGUUAAAACGUUAACGUAAAGUUAAGUUAAGUAGUUACGGUUCGUAGAGAGCGACGACGACGACGACGGAGGAGGAG
rnacentral:rRNA from 1 species